rnacentral:misc_RNA from 1 species
UAGCAAACAUUUCUUUUCUUUUACUUCCUUUUCUUUUGAACACAUACAUACACACUCAAGUUAGAAUCUAUAUACAAACAAUGGAGACGGUCAAAUAAAAAUUUUGAGGCCACAAGAUUUUGCCUUCAACUGGCAAGAACUCCAGAAGGUAGGCUAUAAAAUAGGAGAAAACAAAAGAAUUUGGGUCUCAUAGGUUUUGUUGAUAAAAAAAACCUUACAGUAUAGAAGCACUUGGUGGGGUUGGGGUUGGGAUUACAAAGGCCUUAUCAACACCCUAAUUUCUGGUAUUUAGUGUAGUCAAUUUCAUUCAGACGUAUGCAACAUAACAAAUGCUCGGGCAAGUCCUCUGCCUUGUAUCCCUGAAUUGUCAGGCCAAAAUCCAAGAUGCAAAACUUCAAUCUGUCAUGGAAUGCUUCAAAACCUUUUCUAGAAAUGUAGCUAAAUCUGUGCAUAUCCAAAUCAAUCUCAAAGUAGUUUUCUCCCGAAUAGAAUUCAUGUUGAGGACGUGAUAGAACUGGCUUUUCAUUGUAAGCAUUCAUAAGCUUCUUUUCAGCAGCACUUAAUUGAAGAUCCUCUGCAUUUGCCAAUCGGCCCAAGAUUUUUAGUCUUUCCCUAAAUGGUGCAAUUGUAUCAACUGGGAAACCUUUUACUCUCUCCACUUCAUCAUUAAUUAACCUACUGAUAUUGUCUCGGAAAUGAGAGGGAAGCUCUUUUGAGUAAUUUUCAGACACCUUAAAAUACAUAACCAAGUUCAUUCCUUCACCAUCAUUUUCGCUUUGAAAAAUUGUGGCAGGAUACAAAGGUAUCUGAACAUUUACAACUAGAAUAGAUGGUGCUUCAUCAGAUGCACUAGUAGCAGGAAGUUCCACAAAUUGAGCAAUAUGAUGAAUUUUCCUUUGAGAGAGGAAGAUGUCAGCACCAAACGGAUAAAAUGCAGCACAAUUUGGACCACGAUCUUUCUUCUUGUCCCUGAAAUAGUUCUGUCCUCUGACUUUGAAAGUACUUGGCUCAAUAGGUGACCAACAAUUAGGCAUCCUCUUGUCUAUAGGGCAGUAAGGAAUUGAGGAACCGGCAAUUGGUCUUUGCAGAAGUGCCUUGGGUGAAAAUAGCGUUGGAGUAGCAUGUCCAUCUCUCCAUUUAAAGGAAAGUUUCAGAGAAGGUUUUCUCCUAGAGGCUGAUGUGCCAGGACUUAGAGAUUUUUUCUUUUCAAGCGAAGGGACUGUUGAAGCAAGACAAGGUAAGCAAGUAUUUGGAAGAAGCCCACAAUGACUUGCCUCCUGCAUUACUUCCCCUCCAACACUAGUACUGCCAUUCGAAACUCCAUACCCAGGAACUGUAAUACCCUUUACCUCCUCAUUGGGUUUGGAUCGAGAGUCCUUGUCUUUUGAUUGAACAUUCUCUGCAUGUCCCUCAUUAUCAAGCCCUAGAGUAGUGCUCUCGAAAUGGUCCUUUGGAUUAAAAUCUCUAGGCGAUGAAAAACUCAAUACGCUCUCCGACCCAAUUACAGAGAACCCAUCAUCACGAACACUGUAAAACUCAUCGUCCCAUUCAGAUUCAAGCACUGAAAUAGCAUCAGACCAGGGAGCAUCAGUGCUUCCUUGGAAAGCAAGAUUAGUAUGAGAACGAUCUGUCUGUCCAGCAAAAUCAUUCUUUUCAAUAUUACGAGAAGAAACACGCCUUUUGAUCACUCUCCUCCUCCUCAUUCUAUGCUUCCCAUUGUUGUUGUUCUUCUUCUUCGACGAUAAACCAACACAGUCCUUCGGCCUCGAAGCACAAGCUCCCAUUUUUCGCUCUCUCUCCUUCUCUUCGUGAGACUAAAACUUC